UCUCCGUUGGUGAACCAGCGGAGGGAUCAUUACCGAGUGUAUAACUCUCAAACCCCUGUGUACAUACCCGUUUUUUUGCUUCGGCGGGUCCCUCGCUCUCGCGGCGGAGCCCGCCCGAGCGCCCAAACAAACUCUUGGACUUGGAUCUAGGACUAGACUUCUGAGUUAAACAAAAAAUAAAAUCAAAACUUUCAACAACGGAUCUCUUGGUUCUG
rnacentral:misc_RNA from 1 species